UUGGAGGGCAGUCUGGUGCCAGCAGCCGCUGUAUUCCAGCUCCAUAGCGUAUAUUAAAGUUGUUGCAGUUAAAAAGCUCAUAGUUGAAUUUCGGGGUUAGUAGGUUGGUCAUGCCACUGGUAUGUACUGGUCUCACUGAUUCCUCCUUCCUGAUGAGCCGUAAUGCCAUUAAUUUGGUGUUGCGAGGAAUCUGGACUGUUACUUUGAAAAAAUUAGAGUGUUUAAAGCAAGCUAACGCUUGAAUACAUUAGCAUGGAAUAAUGAAAUAGGACGUUCGAUCCUAUUUUGUUGGUUUCUAGGAUUGACGUAAUGAUUAAUAGGGAUAGUUGGGGGCAUUAGUAUUCAAUUGUCAGAGGUGAAAUUCUUGGAUUUAUUGAAGACUAACUACUGCGAAAGCAUUUGCCAAGGAUGUUUUCAUUAAUCAAGAACGAAAGUUAGGGGAUCGAAGACGAUCAGAUACCGUCGUAGUCUUAACCAUAAACUAUGCCGACUAGGGAUCGGAUGAUGUUAUUUUUAAUGACUCAUUCGGCGCCUUACGGGAAAC
rnacentral:rRNA from 1 species